UACGUAGGGUGCAAGCGUUGUCCGGAAUUAUUGGGCGUAAAGAGCUCGUAGGCGGUUUGUCGCGUCUGCUGUGAAAACGCGGGGCUCAACUCCGCGCCUGCAGUGGGUACGGGCAGACUAGAGUGCAGUAGGGGAGACUGGAAUUCCUGGUGUAGCGGUGGAAUGCGCAGAUAUCAGGAGGAACACCGGUGGCGAAGGCGGGGUCUCUGGGCUGUAACUGACGCUGGAGGAAGCGAAAGCGUGGGUAGCGAACAGG
rnacentral:rRNA from 1 species